UUAAUCAGUAUAAAUGUGAUUAACAUUCAAAUAAAUCCAGAUAAUACAUUCACAAUUGGAAUCAUGGCAUUAUGGUACACUGAUAUGUGUGUACCAUUUUACUGGGUUUUUUUUUUUUUUUUUUUUUUUUUUUUUUUGCUGCAUAACUAGGGAUCGUAUACAUACAAAAUGAGACAAUUUCUAAUUAGUUUCUAAUUAUAAGGUAUGACACGUUUUAAGGUAUGGUGGCCAAUACUGAUUUUAUUUUUAUUUGCAAUUUUCUUUCAGAUAUGGGACUCUAUUAUUCGGAAAACUGCAGAUUUUAUGAAGCUGUCUUUGACAGAAGAUUUGGUUUUCUCCAUCUGUGUUGCCACCAACCAUUAUGCUGAGAUAGUCAUAACUAGGGGGAAGGGUUGCCAUAUACUUCCCAAGGAAGUUUGCAGCCUCUCACUGAAGAGGAACUGUACAGAUUUUUGUGCAUUAUCUUAUACACGCCUGCUGUGAAGUUCCAGUCGAUAGACAGAUAUUGGUCAACGCAUGCCCCUGUCGGAACAACUCGUUAUCAAGAAUUAUGUCUAGAAAUAGGUUUCAAGAGGUUGAAUAUAAGAACAUUUUUGUUAAAUAUGAUGCAAGUACAUUUGAAUCUAGUGAUUGAAAGUAAGUACUUGAACAUUCGUUUAUGUUGAACUUGGAGAGGAAAAAUGGUUAAUACUUUUUGAUAACAUUUGAUAAGGUGUUGUUGCUUAGCAACCAAAUAUAAUUGAAUAAAAAUAGAUUAUUUUAGAUUAACAAUAAUUGAAAGAUCUUUGUUUUAAUGUUGCAAUACUUAUUAUAUUUAAUGGAACAUAAUGGCAAAACGUCAUAUUAUUAGAAAAUGAUGGACAAGUAUAUAAAGUACGAAGUUUCCAUUUGAUGACCUUUGAUCUUAAUUCUCUUGAUUAUAUUUUUUGUUAAAAACCUUUUAAAAUGAUUAAGAUCUAUUUAAAGAUUAUAUUUUUAAAAUAAUGUGACAUUUACUAAUCAUCAUGGAUUGUAAUUACGUUUAAAUUGUGUCGAAUGGAUGCAGAAAGGCAAAUUAUGGUCAAAAUUGUACUAUGAGUGUUGUUACUUAGCAACCAAAAAUAUUUGUUUGUCAAUAAAAUUGAUUAGUUUGA